rnacentral:rRNA from 1 species
UUUUGGACAAUGGGCGCAAGCCUGAUCCAGCCAUGCCGCGUGAGUGAAGAAGGCCUUCGGGUUGUAAAGCUCUUUCCCCCCCCGACGAAACGGUUCGUGCUAAUACCACGGACUACUGACGGUACCCGCAGAAGAAGCACCGGCUAACUACGUGCCAGCAGCCGCGGUAAUACGUAGGGUGCAGGCGUUAAUCGGAAUUACUGGGCGUAAAGCGUGCGCAGGCGGUUUGUUAAGACAGGUGUGAAAUCCCCGGGCUUAACCUGGGAAUUGCGCUUGUAACUGGCAGACUGGAGUGUGGCAGAGGGGGGUGGAAUUCCAAGUGUAGCAGUGAAAUGCGUAGAUAUUUGGAGGAACACCGAUGGCGAAGGCGAGCCCCCUGGGCUAACACUGACGCUCAUGCACGAAA